UCGUCGGCACCGUCGAGGGGGCGCCUGGCACGCCGUGUUUCAACUUCCACCCGUGCUACAAGCCUCGUCGGUGCUUCAUGCCGGGUGGGGUGCGACGCCGCGUGGGCACCGGUGCUGCGAUGUAGCCCUCGUCGCCGGCGCCGGUGCUGAAGCCGCCGGUUCUCUAAUGAAGCCCUCGCCGGCGGCCGGUGCUGCAAUGAAGCCAUGUCGCCGACGACCGGUGCUGCAAUGAAGCCCUCGUCGUCAGCGGCCAGUGCUGCAAUGAAGCCAUGUCACCGACGACCGGUGCUGCAAUGAAGCCCUCGUCGCCGGCGGCCGGUGCUGCAAUGAAGCCCUCGUCGCCGGCGGCCGGUGCUGCAGUGAAGCCAUGUCCCGAGCGGCGACGAGGUGGUUCUCCUACUCGAAGGGCGCCGACAAAGAGGUCCGCUGCAAACAUUGUGUUUGCUGGUUCAGGAGGAGAUUUGUUGGAGCAGACCGAUGUGUUGACUCCAUCGACGACUAAACGUAGGUGAAUCGGAUGGCUAAGAACCCGGCUGAUAUUUGGAAAAAAAUUGUCGAUUGAUUUGUAGCAUGCGCCUUAUUUAAAGAGUCCCAUCCCACCGAUUUAGCGCCGCCACCAACACUUGGUCUCGAUCUCCCUCGGGAUCCAUCCCCACGCAACGAAAACAACCAUUGCCUCACGUCCCGUAUCGAGCUCCUCCUCGAUCCCGAGUCCAGGGCCGCUUCUACAAGCAGAGGAGUCGCGCCUCAGUGCAAGCGUUGCCGUCCCCAACGCCACCUGUGGCCAACUGCCGGCGACCAGCCGGCCCUCCUAUAGCCCGCCUCGCUGAGGACCUCGCCGGACCACAACCCAUCACGUCAAGCACCACCUCCAGGUCCCUGCUUCGCGCCCUCCUUCCUUUGUUUCUCGCACUUGUUUUCUUUCUUCUCUCCCUCUCACGUUUCGCUCUGUUUGUGUGUGUCCAUCUUGUGGGUCACCGAGCCCCGACACCCGAGCCGCCAUGGAGCUGAGUCGCCAUCAAGGUUCUGCGCUCCUCCUCCGUUCCGGCAGGGAACCAACGGUCCGCCGCUUCGCCCCGCAAGCUCCCUCUCGGAUCCAUUCAUCGCUCACACAACCUGCUCCGCCCUGCAGCCGGUCCUGUGGCACCCAGGCCGGCUGGACCUGACACUGUCGUGCUGCCAGCUCGGCUCCACCGAUGUCUGCCUUUGUCGCGCCGCCAAGCUGCCGCACCGGAGCUCCACCAUCAGCCCCGACCCGCCUCAAGCCGCAGUCGUAGCUUCGUCCCUCCCGCGUCCCCCGGCAGGGGCCUCCACUGCAUCUUCUCGCUAGCCUCCCUGUUCCCGUUGUGAGGAAUUCCCCCAUAACUAAACUUCAACAUUUUUCCUCGAUCCGUUCUGGGAUACAGAUCUUAGUUAGGAUUUCCUCUAUUUAUCCACUAGAGCUUCGUAGCCCACCUGGUCAGUAACGGUCAUGGGUUCGAGACCCAGACUCACCAAUUUUUCGCCGUUUUGAAUUGCUAAUAACUAAUUAAUUGUAUAUCAUAUGUUAAAACUAUAGACAUGUAAAAUGCCGAGAAUUUUGUGUAUAUUAAGAAUAUCCAAUUUUUAACCAUGAUAAAAAUGUUUAAACUUGUUGUUUAAUUAAGUUUGCAUAGAUGCCAUGUAAAAAUUAUUUGUCUCAUAAUUAAUUAACCGUAGCUCCGAUUAAAACAUUUCACAUGUGUAACUUGACUAGAAAAUGUGUAGAAUAAAAUGGUGACUUUUAUUUUGCUAUUUAUCAACUCUAAAAUUAUGUAUAGGCAGAACAAUAUGAAAUUAUUAAUUUACAUAUGAGGACUUUCCAGAAUUGUUAUUCGUUGUUCCGACCUUAUUUAAACUUUUUAUAAUUUCAUGCAGUUCAAUAAUAUCUUGUUGCAUCCAUUUUAACAUGCUUGUGGCUAUCAUUUGCAUACAUUCUACAUUCAUGGCAUAUCAUCUUGUGUUGAUCGUAUCUUUUAGUCGGUAGCUUCGUUUUGGAUGACCUAUAUAUGUAAAUCGACUAGAAUCACGUGUAGAAUCACAUGGUCCACUUUAUUUUGCUGUUUAAUAAAUAUAAAAUGUGUUCAUUUUAGAUCUGGAUCAAUUUCAAAAUUUAACACAUGUGGUCAUUUCGGAAAUGCUAUAUGUUGUUUCUGUUUUGCGUUGUUUUCUUUUUUGUUUGACACACACACAAACACACCCAUCUUGGGCCGAUUCCAGCCCUAACCCACUGCACUUUGCUGCAAUUCGGGCCAUAUNNNNNNNNNNNNNNNNNNNNNNNNNNNNNNNNNNNNNNNNNNNNNNNNNNNNNNNNNNNNNNNNNNNNNNNNNNNNNNNNNNUAUAUUUCCUGCUGCUAUUUUGUCAUUAAUCAAGAUAUGCAUUUGUUACACAUUUUUUCGCCGUUUUGAAUUGCUAAUAACUAAUUAAUUGUAUAUCAUAUGUUAAAACUAUAGACAUGUAAAAUGCCGAGAAUUUUGUGUAUAUUAAGAAUAUCCAAUUUUUAACCAUGAUAAAAAUGUUUAAACUUGUUGUUUAAUUAAGUUUGCAUAGAUGCCAUGUAAAAAUUAUUUGUCUCAUAAUUAAUUAACCGUAGCUCCGAUUAAAACAUUUCACAUGUGUAACUUGACUAGAAAAUGUGUAGAAUAAAAUGGUGACUUUUAUUUUGCUAUUUAUCAACUCUAAAAUUAUGUAUAGGCAGAACAAUAUGAAAUUAUUAAUUUACAUAUGAGGACUUUCCAGAAUUGUUAUUCGUUGUUCCGACCUUAUUUAAACUUUUUAUAAUUUCAUGCAGUUCAAUAAUAUCUUGUUGCAUCCAUUUUAACAUGCUUGUGGCUAUCAUUUGCAUACAUUCUACAUUCAUGGCAUAUCAUCUUGUGUUGAUCGUAUCUUUUAGUCGGUAGCUUCGUUUUGGAUGACCUAUAUAUGUAAAUCGACUAGAAUCACGUGUAGAAUCACAUGGUCCACUUUAUUUUGCUGUUUAAUAAAUAUAAAAUGUGUUCAUUUUAGAUCUGGAUCAAUUUCAAAAUUUAACACAUGUGGUCAUUUCGGAAAUGCUAUAUGUUGUUUCUGACAUUAUUUAAAAUGCCUAGAUAGUGUAGUUUAUUUAUGCUUCACCUCUUGUCAUGUUUAAAAACAGUUAAUAUUCUCGUGUACCUAAAUGAGAGUGAACUAAAUAUUCGAAUAUGAUGUUUCGUCAAUAUGCAACUCAUUGCAUAUUGAGCUUCACUUAAUGUGUAGGAGUUGAUUGUUGUGCUUUGCCAUGCCUUGCUUAAUUGAAAUUGACAUGCGUCAUAUUUGAUUAUGCAUCGUGUCAUGAAUAUGUGUGAUGUUAUCGUGUGUUGAUUGUUGGCCUGGAUUGUUUCUUAUGAUAGAGUUCUGAACCGNNNNNNNNNNNNNNNNNNNNNNNNNNNNNNNNNNNNNNNNNNNGAACCGCUUCAGAUUGCGAAGAUUCGUUCGACUACGUCGGGUCAUCUACUUCAUGGAAUGGUCCUUCUUCCAAGCGGGGUCACAUGCAAGAUGAUCAUUUCCUUAGAUACCAUUAAUAUCAUUGUCAUGCUAUUUGUGUCAUUUCUUUCGCUAUGUCUUGGUGCCUAUCACUUAAAUGUCAGCCUCCCAACAUUUCCAUGAAGAGCCUCUCACCCCCUCCACAACCCAGCAAACCCUUGUUUGGAUAUGUUACUGCUUGCUCGGGCUUCUUAUAGCGUUGCUAGUUGUAGGUACAGUUGCUUUUUGUGUGAUAACAUGGAUUCCUUGUUAUAUCACCAUAUUAAUGCUAAUGAAUUUAAUGCACCUAUAUACUUGGUAAAAAGUGGAAGGCGUGGCCUUCUAGCC
rnacentral:lncRNA from 1 species